CACGUAGGGCGCAAGCGUUGUCCGGAAUUAUUGGGCGUAAAGAGCUCGUAGGCGGUCUGUUGCGUCCGCUGUGAAAACUCGGGGCUCAACCUCCAGCCUGCAGUGGGUACGGGCAGACUAGAGUGCGGUAGGGGAGAUUGGAAUUCCUGGUGUAGCGGUGGAAUGCGCAGAUAUCAGGAGGAACACCGAUGGCGAAGGCAGAUCUCUGGGCCGUAACUGACGCUGAGGAGCGAAAGCAUGGGGAGCGAACAGG
rnacentral:rRNA from 1 species